rnacentral:rRNA from 1 species
UACGUAGGGUGCAAGCGUUGUCCGGAAUUAUUGGGCGUAAAGAGCUCGUAGGCGGUCUGUCGCGUCGAAUGUGAAAACCCGGGACUCAACUCCGGGCCUGCAUUCGAUACGGGCAGACUAGAGUUCGGUAGGGGAGACUGGAAUUCCUGGUGUAGCGGUGAAAUGCGCAGAUAUCAGGAGGAACACCGGUGGCGAAGGCGGGUCUCUGGGCCGACACUGACGCUGAGGAGCGAAAGCGUGGGGAGCAAACAGG